UGUGUGUUUUAGCGUGUGUCUGAGGGUUCUGCUCUUCCAGCGUGGCUGGCAGGGCUCAAGACCUGAAGUGACAAAGGCUUUGUGAAUGUCUGACUCACAGACAACUGUCAGCAUUCAAUGGGCUGGAUUAAGAUGGAGCAUAGAACCGAGCACACCCUGACAUGUUGACAUGUUCUACUAAGUGCAUUUCAAGGUGGAUUUAGCUUGUUUGCUCCAUUGUGGAGCGACAGAGGAGACACAAUUGCUAAAUGGGACUGGCUAUUCUUGAGAUGGCGGGUGAACUCUACUCCGCUGUCUGGUUUAGGAUUGACACUGGCUUCAUUCUCGAGACUUCCUUUGAUGUUCAGAUACUUCACCUUCCUGCAAAACAGAGGAUCAACAGCUGGUUGUAAUACUGCAGAUUCCACAUACAAAGGAUGUGUUGAACUACAUCUCUUUAUGGAUCAGCAUUAUACAUUCUGAGCAUCUGGAUCAAGAAGUCAAGAGGUGGAUUAUGCUGCAGGGGUGGUUUCACAAGUUUCUAUGAACAUUAUACUUUAUUUCUACAGCGGAAAACACACAGUAUAACUCCACUGUAAUGUCAGAUAUUCAGUUUCGGAUCACCUUUUACAAGCAAAAACAUUUCACAGCCAUGUUUCCAGUCUAAAGGAGCUGAGGAUGAGAGACGGCAGAAUUUGUAUUGAGAUUGUAAUGUUUUUUUAUUUGAUUAAGACAUUGUUUUAAAUUCAACAUAAUAAUUCACCAUGCUCUUGACGUGUAGAUAUGGAGACACUUGAUUGAAAUCGAUUGUUGAAAGUUAAAUAAUUAGGAGUUUAAUUUCAAUCCACUUAAUUUAAUUUAAAGACUGAAUAUUGGUUUUACUUAAUUCAUUACUUGGUACAAACAUAACUAAUUAUAAUUUGCACAAUGCAAAUAUACUCUUGGUCACACAAAUCUCUUUACUCACAACUUUAAAUUUUAAUUUAACUGCUAAGUACUUCUCCCGCCAACAGAACUUUAUUGCUACAGGAAAAUCUAACUUAAUUAUUUAAUAACAUUUAUUAUUUGUAAUUAAACCCUUAUUAAAUUACUUUUUUGCGGUGUGUUUAACAAUGUCUCUCUGCUGUCCUGAAAGUCUCUUAGCUAUCUGUUAAUUAAAAAGGCAAUAAAACCAUAUUAGAAGCAUUACUAAUAAGAUGAGUCCAAGCAAAUAAUAUAAUUGGAUUGAAAACAUUUGAGGUUGAGCUUGGGCACAUUCACACAGAGGUUAACACCUGUUUGCCCUCCAGCCAACCACUCAAUCAACAUGUGGUGACUGACUAUCAAUCCUUCAGCUGUGUACCAACAGAAAUGUACAGCCUUCAGCACUAUUUCAUGUCAGAAAAAACAGACCUGCAUAUAAAUAUUCCAACAUUUUGGUGAAAAAUGACUAAAUUUACAAGAAUAGAAAGGUUUAUUUUUGGCAGGAUGACAACAUUUGGACUAUAAUCACACACAAAAACUCUCCACUGAAGAGAAGCCAGCUGAACCAACCCUCACAUCCAAAGGGAGGAGCAUCUCCCAUAAUCCCUGCAUUCAAAUCAACUGUUAAAUGAAACAUCGCCUGAAUAAAAGCAAGCAGAGCUGGUGUCACUCA